UCCACUGUUUGCACAGAAUACGUCCCCUGUACCACAACUUACAUGUGGCUUGUAAAGCUGUGUACCACCCCUGGCAGGAGCUUUCUGUCGAUGAGUGAAUGGUUGCCACAAAAGCAAGAAUUGCUCUGAAGCAGUACAUUAAGAACAAGCCACCAAAGUAGGGGAUCAAACUGUUUGUGUUGUCAGACACCACAGGCUACAGAGUGGAUUUAACAUUUACACGGGGAGGUCCACUAUGGCGACGGUGGCCCAGCGCUGUUCAUGCACCUACACCGCCUGGGGUUUGGAGCCUGUGGGACAUACUGGGAUGCUGGAACUGGCAUCCAGAAAACAAAAGUCAAUGAUCUCACACAGAAAUCUCCACGGGGGGCGAUCAGGUGGAUCAGACAGGGGCCCCUUCUCCUCAGCAAGUGGAUGGACAUGAGGAAGGUUGCUGGUAUGGUGUCAUAAUGGCAACCAGGCGCUGCAGGUAUCUCCAUCACCCAACAGAAAGUACCCAGCUGGGGGAUACAGUGCUUCCUGGUACAUGGGGGAUCUACGCAGGACAAGGGCAUCAUGUGCACAUCAAUAAAUCUCCCUUUGGCAUCAA